rnacentral:rRNA from 1 species
AUACGGAGGGGGCAAGCGUUGCUCGGAAUUACUGGGCGUAAAGGGCGCGUAGGCGGGCCAGCCAGUCAGGCGUGAAAGCCCCGAGCUCAACUCGGGAACUGCGCUUGAAACUGCUGGUCUAGAGUUCGGGAGAGGGUAGUGGAAUUCCCAGUGUAGAGGUGAAAUUCGUAGAUAUUGGGAAGAACACCAGUGGCGAAGGCGGCUCUCUGGACCGAUACUGACGCUGAGGUGCGAAAGCGUGGGGAGCAAACAGGAUUAGAAACCCCGGUAGUCC